rnacentral:lncRNA from 1 species
GGAUGGGUUUAACAUGAGCGGCGAGAAGGGCUGUGCUUGGCCAGUGGGAGACUCACCCCGGAUCAAAGCGACAGGGCAAGGAGAAGUGGCCUGGUUUUCAUGCAUCAAAGCAGGCGGCCGAUGGGGUUAAUCGCACUUUCCGGCGAGCGGCCAUGGCUGCAUCAAGGUAUUCAUCUACAAUGGGGGUCGGGCGAGGAUGUUCCUUUUCCUCCCCGGCUCUGUUCAUUCUCUGAUGGGACUCUUGCGCGCGUGCGCGUUGGAAUAUGCUUCCUUUUUGCACCUUCUGCGACCCACAGAGUUUGGUGUCGACGGCGAGGCGAUGCCCAUGCGGCCGUUGUCGGCUGACGAUUAAUUGCUUGGUGGCAGGGGAGCCGCGGUCUCCGACCGCCGGCAAAGUUCGGCCCAUGUCUCGGGGCUUGAAGACGGCAGCGACUGCUCCUGGAACUUGGUAUCCCAUAAGAUGAUAGCGCUGUUCGAGAUGACUCCGAGACGCGGAUCCCAACUGGUAUUAUUGUAGGCAACAGAGUUUUGUUGCCUUUGGAGCUUUGGACAGGAGAGCUUUUACUAUUUAUUGUUUGGUCAUUAUGCUCCGAAACCUUAACAUCUAUUUCAUUAGAAAGUACUUUUAAUUGUUUAAUUAUUUGUAUAAUAAAAAAUUGUUGUUAUAAAGUAUUUCUAAUUUAUACAUUAUUCAUUGUGAUGUUUAACCUAAAUAAUAUGAUAAAUAAUAAGCUCGAAAU